UACGAAGGGGGGCUAGCGUUGCUCGGAAUCACUGGGCGUAAAGCGCACGUAGGCGGAUCGCUAAGUCAGGGGUGAAAUCCUGGAGCUCAACUCCAGAACUGCCUUUGAUACUGGCAAUCUCGAGUCCGGGAGAGGUGAGUGGAACUGCGAGUGUAGAGGUGAAAUUCGUAGAUAUUCGCAAGAACACCAGUGGCGAAGGCGGCUCACUGGCCCGGUACUGACGCUGAGACGCGAAAAGCGUGGGGGAGCAAACAGGG
rnacentral:rRNA from 1 species